rnacentral:rRNA from 1 species
AGAGUUUGAUCCUGGCUCAGAGCGAACGCUGGCGGCAGGCCUAACACAUGCAAGUCGAACGAACCCUUCGGGGUUAGUGGCGGACGGGUGAGUAACACGUGGGAACGUGCCUUUAGGUUCGGAAUAACUCAGGGAAACUUGUGCUAAUACCGAAUGUGCCCUUCGGGGGAAAGAUUUAUCGCCUUUAGAGCGGCCCGCGUCUGAUUAGCUAGUUGGUGAGGUAAAGGCUCACCAAGGCUACGAUCAGUAGCUGGUCUGAGAGGAUGACCAGCCGCAUUGGGACUGAGACACGGCCCAAACUCCUACGGGAGGCAGCAGUGGGGAAUCUUGCGCAAUGGGCGAAAGCCUGACGCAGCCAUGCCGCGUGGAUGAUGAAGGUCUUAGGAUUGUAAAAUCCUUUCACCGGUGAAGAUAAUGACUGUAGCCGGAGAAGAAGCCCCGGCUAACUUCGUGCCAGCAGCCGCGGUAAUA